rnacentral:snRNA from 1 species
AUACUUACCUGGUGCUGGGGCCUCAUUUAUCACCGAGGUCAAGCCCCCAGGGUGAGGAUUGGGCUUUGCACUGCACUCGCGUUGACCCCUGCCACUACCCAAACUGCGGCAGAUGGGGCAUGCAAAUUCCUUAAAUCCGGUUCAACGGA